rnacentral:misc_RNA from 1 species
GGAUCGAAUUCCCCACCAGAAAAUUAUCCCCAACCAAUAAAAGUUUUUAAAUAGAAAAAAAAACCCAGAUUUUUAUUUCUCUUUUUGCCUUGUAAUUUCCACUCUUGCAAAACCUUCUCUUCUUCUUGUUCUUCUUCUUGUUAUAGUUCUUGUUCUUUUUCUUCCUUCUUCGAGGAUUCGAUCCCAAGAGACUUUGUUGGUGUUAUCUGUCAAUUGCGGUUGUGUUUCUGGGUAAAUGAAUUAGGGUUUUGUUCUUUCAAUUUGUGAUAAUAAUUUCUUUCAUUUUAUUUGAUUAUCUCUAAUGCCCGUUUCUUUUUCUUACUCGAUCUAUCUUUUGUUUCUUUUAGUUCUUGUUCUGGUGUAAUCCAUUUAUUCCAAACCCUAA